rnacentral:rRNA from 1 species
CCUACGGGAGGCAGCAGUGAGGAAUAUUGGUCAAUGGGCGUAAGCCUGAACCAGCCAAGUCGCGUGAGGGAUGAAGGUUCUAUGGAUCGUCAACCUCUUUUAUAAGGGAAUAAAGUGUGGGACGUGUCCGAUUUUGUAUGUACCUUAUGAAUAAAGAUAGGCUAACUCCGUGCCCGCAGCCGCGGUAAUACGGCGGAUCCGAGCGUUAUCCGGAUUUAUUGGGUUGAAGGGGUGCGUAGGCGGAGGCACAAGUCAGCGGUAAAAUCGCGGGGCUCAACCCCGCUCCGCCGUUGAAACUGUGUCCCUUGAGUGCGCGACGGGUAGGCGGAAUGCGUGGUGUAGCGGUGAAAUGCAUAGAUAUCACGCAGAACUCCGAUCGCGAAGGCAGCCUACCGGGGCGCAACUGACGCUCAUGCACGAAAGCGUGGGUAUCGAACAGGAUUAGAUACCCCGAGUAGUC